GUGAGUCAUCGAAUCUUUGAACGCACCUUGCGCCUUUUGGUAUUCCGAGAGGCAUGCCUGUUUGAGUGUCAUGUAGACUCAACUCUCAAGAGGUUUCUUGCGAGUUGGAUUUGGGUGUUGCCAUCUGGCUCACCUUAAAAGUAUUAGUGGUUUAAGCGCUUGAUCGGACGUGAUAAGUUUCGUCCGGCCAUGUGUCAUCGACCGCUCCUAAAUUGCCUUGCGGCGAUCUUUGACUCUGACCUCAAAUCAGGUAGGACUACCCGCUGAACUUAAGCAUAUCAAUAAGCGGAGGA
rnacentral:misc_RNA from 1 species